rnacentral:rRNA from 1 species
UACGAAGGGGGCGAGCGUUGUUCGGAUUUACUGGGCGUAAAGGGCGCGCAGGCGGUUCUGUUUGUCGAGUGUGAAAGCCCCGGGCUCAACCUGGGAACUGCGCUCGAAACGGCGGAACUAGAGUUCGGGAGAGGAGAGUGGAAUUCCCAGUGUAGAGGUGAAAUUCGUAGAUAUUCGGAAGAACACCAGUGGCGAAGGCGGCUCACUGGACCGGUAUUGACGCUGAGGUGCGAAAGCGUGGGGAGCAAACAGG